UUGUCCUCUCGCGAGAAUUUGACUUAACGCGAGAAAAAGCUAAUGUUUCUUAAAGAGCUACCGGUUUUGAAAAUAUUUAAAGGCAAUGCUUGCAGGAAAAACACAGACCUUCAAGCUCACCUUUCCUGCUUUUUUAAGGCAGAACCUUUACCGGUCGCCGUGGGUCCGGAUGGCUCCUAGGCUUCUGUGUGAUUGCUGGAGAUAGGGCAUCCGUGCGGAAAGCGUCUUUGCCUUUGGAAACAUCUCGGAUGCUCCACACGCUUUGCCCUCAUCUUGAGACUUCUAAAGUCUGUGGUCACAAGAAAUCUGCUAGCAGUAACCAGGGGAGUUCCCUCCUUGUCUGUGCACACCUUUGUAAUCUGGAAGCCACCAUGGCAAGGUAUAUUAAGAUCUGAGAAGGAGCAUCAAGAAUAGAUAAGAAGACCCCCACCGGGAAGAUGCUUGGCGGGCAGGAAGCGGUUUCCCUUACUGGCGUCUUUGUUCUGUCUAGUGAACUACACAUCAGGUGCGCUGUGAGAGUCCAGAAGAAAAGCCAGUGGUUUAAAAGUGGAGAAACUGGGCAAAGAUAUGCGUCUUGGUGACUGGAACUACGGAUACAGGCAGAAGGAAUUCUAAACUGGGAACAGUACUUGAAGUACAGUGUCACCACCCGAGCCACCAAGGAUAAGCUAUUCUCUCCUCCAGCACAAACAUCACCCUGCAAAUCACCCCCAUCAACAAAAAUGCUUUUGUUUUCCAGCAGACCUCUUAUAUGGCCCAAGAGAAUGGGAAUGCCUGCUCAAAGCCUCCAUUGCACACUUUAGUGCUUCUUACCCAGAUGCGGGGCCCUAUGUGCCUAUUUCUUCCUGACCAGCAACCCAGUACCGUGUGCAUCAUCAUCCAUUGUGUCUUAGUGCAGAGCACGAUGAUGUUCACUGCAGGCUCCUUGUGAUGGUGGGCCACCACAAUGAAAAUGCACAGGCAGCACUGUGCCAGGAGCUGCAGCCAGAAAUCAUGCCCUCUUGGAUGUGGCACCAUGUACAGUGCAACUGGCUACCUGGUCACUAAGGUGGACGUCAAGUGAAGAGCCUUGCCUGGCUAUCCUAUUACAUGCUUCAGACCAGCUAAUAUGAUUCUUCAACCUGGGGAGGCACAAGAGUGAGAUUAGCACUCCGGUCCUGUGAGCAGCAGAGACGCUGCUCUAUAGGGCUUGCUGGUCACUGCACAUAAUACCAACAGUCAUCAUCCUACAGCUAGUCUUUGCCUACAGUUUAGAGGAAUUGCUUCCAGAACCCAGCAAUGGCCCGGUACCUGCUGGCAGGCAGACAGAGCCACAGUUUUACCUGGUUGUGGCCUUGUCCUUUGUAUCCAUGCUCUUCUCCUCACAGUGACUUUGGCCAUCACCCUGGUCCUGUGAGGCUCCGCCAGCCCUACUUUCAGUCUGGUCUUUGGUCCAAGCCUAGAUUUGGAGUCGCUUUUACUUCAGCAAGUGAGAUUUGCCCUAUUUCUGCAGUCCUUUUGUGGCUUCGGAUAUUUUGCUAAAUUUUAAUUUUAUUUCUUUCACUCAAGAAACAUCUUUUAAGUGUAUGUUCUCUUUGGUGCCUGCACUGCAACCUUCAAUAUUACAUUGGAUUGAAAUAUCUACCUGUGAGUUUUAACACUUUUAUUUUGUAAAUAUCCUGUUCUAAAUCAACUCUGCUUGUUUUUUUUGCUGUUGUUGGAGGAAGAGAAGCUCUACAAAUUCACUUUCUAGUUGCUGUGUGUUUUUAAAUUUCUUUCAUUUGUCCAGACAGUCGUGUUGGUGAAAAGUUUGUGCCUAUUAGUGCACAUUCUAAAAACUUACAUUUUCUGGUAAAAAAAGCCCUCUCCUUGCAUUAGUUAAAGAGGUUCACUGAAUAUUUAAGUUACUGCCUUUGGACUCCAUAUGCUUGUUUUGAGAAGCUGAGAAACCAUACAUUUGGUUAUACAGGAAUGAAUAUUCUCUUUCCAAAAACUAUUCUUGUGACCUUUGUUUCCUUUAUUGCUUUAUUUUCUCUACUCUUUUCAGUCAUAUCCAUAGGUUGACUGCCAGUAUCUGGCCCAAUUUGUUCCUAAAAUGUUAACCUCUGGGAUGCAGAGAACAUUCUUCCCUAACUUUUGGGUAAAGAUAAAUCACUCAAAGCCUCAAGGCAUUUUACUUAGUAAACUUUUACUAAUUUUGCAAUGAGUAAAAGAAGGAAGGCAAUCUACUUUAA